CAGUAGCCACGGGAAUACGGAGGGAGCUAGCGUUAUUCGGAAUUACUGGGCGUAAAGCGCACGUAGGCGGCUUUGUAAGUUAGAGGUGAAAGCCUGGAGCUCAACUCCAGAAUUGCCUUUAAGACUGCAUCGCUUGAAUCCAGGAGAGGUGAGUGGAAUUCCGAGUGUAGAGGUGAAAUUCGUAGAUAUUCGGAAGAACACCAGUGGCGAAGGCGGCUCACUGGACUGGUAUUGACGCUGAGGUGCGAAAGCGUGGGGAGCAAACAGGAUUAGAUACCCCCGUAGUCCCUGUCUCUUAUAC
rnacentral:rRNA from 1 species